CCUACGGGAGGCAGCAGUGGGGAAUAUUGCACAAUGGGGGAAACCCUGAUGCAGCGACGCCGCGUGAGUGAAGAAGGAAUUCGUUAUGUAAAGCUCUAUCAGCAGGGAAGAAAAUGACGGUACCUGAGUAAGAAGCACCGGCUAACUACGUGCCAGCAGCCGCGGUAAUACGGAGGGAGCAAGCGUAAUCCGGAUUUACUGGGUGUAAAGGGAGCGUAGACGGUGGGGCAAGUCCGGAGUGAAAGGCCGGGGCUCAACCCCCGGACUGCUGUGGAAACUGUUCGGCUGGAGUGAAGGCGAGGUAAGUGGAAUGCCUGGUGUAGCGGUGAAAUGCGUAGAGAUUAGGAGGAACACCAGUGGCGAAGGCGGCUUACUGGACUGUAACUGACGUUGAGGCUCGAAAGCGUGGGGAGCAAACAGGAUUAGAUACCCCUGUAGUC
rnacentral:rRNA from 1 species